CCUUGUACACACCGCCCGUCACACCAAGAAAGUUGGUAACACCCGAAGCCAGUGGCCUAACCGCAAGGAGGGAGCUGUCGAAGGUGGGAUCAGCGAUUGGGGUG
rnacentral:rRNA from 1 species